CCUGAAGAAUGAGAAAGCUGAUGUCUAUCGUCUACCAUAUUUGUCAAGCGGAGGACCUGGGUUUGCCUUGCUCGAGACGGCGAAAAAGAUCAACUUUGGAGACACCUUGAGUCAAAUUGCUAAUGGGUUUUCAUCAGGCAGCUGGAAUAAACCCAUUCUUCUGGCUUGGGGGAUAGCUGAUAAAUACCUGCCUCAGUCUAUAGCUGAGGAAUUUGAGAAACAGAAUCCCGAAAAUGUCAAGCUUCGGCUCAUUGAAGGUGCUGGGCAUUUACCUCAAGAAGACUGGCCAGAGAAAGUAGUUGCUGCCCUCCGAGCAUUUUUCUGACUUUUAAAUCUAGCAAACAAGGAAAAAGGUAAUCACAAAGCCUUGUAACAGCCAAAAUAAACUAGCAAUAGUAGCAUCACAACCCCUUAAUAGGCAUCCCUUAUACUUUCUUACAAAAAAUGGGAAAAGUGUUAGCUGCCCACACCAAAAAACAUCUUGGAGCCACUCGGUUCUCUCAACUAAAUUUUUUCCCCAUUCGUAAUUUCUACUUCUGUUAUAAUAUGCUUUUGUGUUUUGUAUGUUUAAAAGUUUAUGAAAUGCAAUAAUAAAAACUUCAUUG